rnacentral:rRNA from 1 species
GAAUUUUGGACAAUGGGGGCAACCCUGAUCCAGCCAUCCCGCGUGUGCGAUGAAGGCCUUCGGGUUGUAAAGCACUUUUGGCAGGGAAGAAAAGGCUCUGGCUAAUACCCGGAGCAGCUGACGGUACCUGCAGAAUAAGCCCCGCCUACCUACGGUCCACCAGCCGCGGUAAUACGUAGGGUGCAAGCUCUAAGCGGAAUUACUGGGCGUAAAGCGUGCGCAGGCGGUUCGGCAAGAAGGAUGUGAAAUCCCAGGGCUUAACCUUGGAACUGCAUUCUUAACUGCCGGGCUAGAGUAUGUCAGAGGGGGGUAGAAUUCCGCGUGUAGCAGUGAAAUGCGUAGAGAUGCGGAGGAAUACCGAUGGCGAAGGCAGCCCCCUGGGAUAAUACUGACGCUCAUGCACGAAAGCGUGGGGAGCAAAC